rnacentral:rRNA from 1 species
GGGUUGUGAGGUUAAGCGACUAAGCGUACACGGUGGAUGCCCUGGCAGUCAGAGGCGAUGAAGGACGUGCUAAUCUGCGAUAAGCGUCGGUAAGGUGAUAUGAACCGUUAUAACCGGCGAUUUCCGAAUGGGGAAACCCAGUGUGAUUCGUCACACUAUCAUUAACUGAAUCCAUAGGUUAAUGAGGCGAACCGGGGGAACUGAAACAUCUAAGUACCCCGAGGAAAAGAAAUCAACCGAGAUUCCCCCAGUAGCGGCGAGCGAACGGGGAGCAGCCCAGAGCCUGAAUCAGUGUGUGUGUUAGUGGAAGCGUCUGGAAAGGCGCGCGAUACAGGGUGACAGCCCCGUACACAAAAAUGCACAUGCUGUGAGCUCGAUGAGUAGGGCGGGACACGUGGUAUCCUGUCUGAAUAUGGGGGGACCAUCCUCCAAGGCUAAAUACUCCUGACUGACCGAUAGUGAACCAGUACCGUGAGGGAAAGGCGAAAAGAACCCCGGCGAGGGGAGUGAAAAAGAACCUGAAACCGUGUACGUACAAGCAGUGGGAGCCUCUUUAUGGGGUGACUGCGUACCUUUUGUAUAAUGGGUCAGCGACUUAUAUUCUGUAGCAAGGUUAACCGAAUAGGGGAGCCGAAGGGAAACCGAGUCUUAACUGGGCGUUAAGUUGCAGGGUAUAGACCCGAAACCCGGUGAUCUAGCCAUGGGCAGGUUGAAGGUUGGGUAACACUAACUGGAGGACCGAACCGACUAAUGUUGAAAAAUUAGCGGAUGACUUGUGGCUGGGGGUGAAAGGCCAAUCAAACCGGGAGAUAGCUGGUUCUCCCCGAAAGCUAUUUAGGUAGCGCCUCGUGAAUUCAUCUCCGGGGGUAGAGCACUGUUUCGGCAAGGGGGUCAUCCCGACUUACCAACCCGAUGCAAACUGCGAAUACCGGAGAAUGUUAUCACGGGAGACACACGGCGGGUGCUAACGUCCGUCGUGAAGAGGGAAACAACCCAGACCGCCAGCUAAGGUCCCAAAGUCAUGGUUAAGUGGGAAACGAUGUGGGAAGGCCCAGACAGCCAGGAUGUUGGCUUAGAAGCAGCCAUCAUUUAAAGAAAGCGUAAUAGCUCACUGGUCGAGUCGGCCUGCGCGGAAGAUGUAACGGGGCUAAACCAUGCACCGAAGCUGCGGCAGCGACGCUUAUGCGUUGUUGGGUAGGGGAGCGUUCUGUAAGCCUGCGAAGGUGUACUGUGAGGUAUGCUGGAGGUAUCAGAAGUGCGAAUGCUGACAUAAGUAACGAUAAAGCGGGUGAAAAGCCCGCUCGCCGGAAGACCAAGGGUUCCUGUCCAACGUUAAUCGGGGCAGGGUGAGUCGACCCCUAAGGCGAGGCCGAAAGGCGUAGUCGAUGGGAAACAGGUUAAUAUUCCUGUACUUGGUGUUACUGCGAAGGGGGGACGGAGAAGGCUAUGUUGGCCGGGCGACGGUUGUCCCGGUUUAAGCGUGUAGGCUGGUUUUCCAGGCAAAUCCGGAAAAUCAAGGCUGAGGCGUGAUGACGAGGCACUACGGUGCUGAAGCAACAAAUGCCCUGCUUCCAGGAAAAGCCUCUAAGCAUCAGGUAACAUCAAAUCGUACCCCAAACCGACACAGGUGGUCAGGUAGAGAAUACCAAGGCGCUUGAGAGAACUCGGGUGAAGGAACUAGGCAAAAUGGUGCCGUAACUUCGGGAGAAGGCACGCUGAUAUGUAGGUGAAGUCCCUUGCGGAUGGAGCUGAAAUCAGUCGAAGAUACCAGCUGGCUGCAACUGUUUAUUAAAAACACAGCACUGUGCAAACACGAAAGUGGACGUAUACGGUGUGACGCCUGCCCGGUGCCGGAAGGUUAAUUGAUGGGGUUAGCGGUAACGCGAAGCUCUUGAUCGAAGCCCCGGUAAACGGCGGCCGUAACUAUAACGGUCCUAAGGUAGCGAAAUUCCUUGUCGGGUAAGUUCCGACCUGCACGAAUGGCGUAAUGAUGGCCAGGCUGUCUCCACCCGAGACUCAGUGAAAUUGAACUCGCUGUGAAGAUGCAGUGUACCCGCGGCAAGACGGAAAGACCCCGUGAACCUUUACUAUAGCUUGACACUGAACAUUGAGCCUUGAUGUGUAGGAUAGGUGGGAGGCUUUGAAGUGUGGACGCCAGUCUGCAUGGAGCCGACCUUGAAAUACCACCCUUUAAUGUUUGAUGUUCUAACGUUGGCCCCUAAUCGGGGUUGCGGACAGUGUCUGGUGGGUAGUUUGACUGGGGCGGUCUCCUCCUAAAGAGUAACGGAGGAGCACGAAGGUUGGCUAAUCCUGGUCGGACAUCAGGAGGUUAGUGCAAUGGCAUAAGCCAGCUUGACUGCGAGCGUGACGGCGCGAGCAGGUGCGAAAGCAGGUCAUAGUGAUCCGGUGGUUCUGAAUGGAAGGGCCAUCGCUCAACGGAUAAAAGGUACUCCGGGGAUAACAGGCUGAUACCGCCCAAGAGUUCAUAUCGACGGCGGUGUUUGGCACCUCGAUGUCGGCUCAUCACAUCCUGGGGCUGAAGUAGGUCCCAAGGGUAUGGCUGUUCGCCAUUUAAAGUGGUACGCGAGCUGGGUUUAGAACGUCGUGAGACAGUUCGGUCCCUAUCUGCCGUGGGCGCUGGAGAACUGAGGGGGGCUGCUCCUAGUACGAGAGGACCGGAGUGGACGCAUCACUGGUGUUCGGGUUGUCAUGCCAAUGGCACUGCCCGGUAGCUAAAUGCGGAAGAGAUAAGUGCUGAAAGCAUCUAAGCACGAAACUUGCCCCGAGAUGAGUUCUCCCUGACUCCCUGAGAGUCCUGAAGGAACGUUGAAGACGACGACGUUGAUAGGCCGGGUGUGUAAGCGCAGCGAUGCGUUGAGCUAACCGGUACUAAUGAACCGUGAGGCUUAACCUUACAACUCCGAAGCUGUU